UACAGAGGUCUCAAGCGUUGUUCGGAUUCAUUGGGCGUAAAGGGUGCGUAGGCGGCGCGGUAAGUCGGGUGUGAAAUCUCGGAGCUUAACUCCGAAACUGCAUUCGAUACUGCCGUGCUUGAGGACUGGAGAGGAGACUGGAAUUUACGGUGUAGCGGUGAAAUGCGUAGAUAUCGUAAGGAAGACCAGUGGCGAAGGCGGGGCUCUGGACAGUGCCUGACGCUGAGGCACGAAGGUCAGGGGAGCAAACGGG
rnacentral:rRNA from 1 species